rnacentral:rRNA from 1 species
CCUACGGGUGGCAGCAGUGAGGAAUAUUGGUCAAUGGACGAGAGUCUGAACCAGCCACGUAGCGUGAAGGAUGACGGCUCUAUGGGUUGUAAACUUCUUUUAUAUGGGAAUAAAAGGUGCUAUGUGUGGGAUUUUGAAUGUAUCAUAUGAAUAAGGAUCGGCUAACUCCGUGCCAGCAGCCGCGGUAAUACGGAGGAUCCGAGCGUUAUCCGGAUUUACUGGGUUUAAAGGGUGCGUAGGGGGAUUGAUAAGUCAGAUGUGAAAUUUUGAGGCUUAACUUUAAAAUUGCAGUUGAAACUGGUAGUCUUGAGUAUAGUAGAGGUAGGCGGAAUUCGUGGUGUAGCGGUGAAAUGCUUAGAGAUCACGAAGAACACCGAUUGCGAAGGCAGUUUACUGGAAUACAACUGACACUGAGGCUCGAAAGUGUGGGGAGCAAACAGGAUUAGAUACCCUUGUAGUC